rnacentral:rRNA from 1 species
GACGAACCGUGCGAACGUUAUUCGGAAUCAUUGGGCUUAAAGCGCGUGUAGGCGGCCCGGCACGUCAGUCGCUGAAAUCCCCCGGCUCAACCGGGGAAGUGGCGUUGAUACGACCGGGCUGGAGGGGGGUAGGGGAAUCGGGAACUCACGGUGGAGCGGUGAAAUGCGUUGAGAUCGUGAGGAACGCCCGCGGCGAAAGCGCGGUUCUGGACCCCACCUGACGCUGAGACGCGAAAGCCAGGGGAGCGAACGGG